AUAGUUCCUCCAUUUCCCUUUGGGGACCACUCCUCUCCUACUUUCAGUCCAUGGGGCUCUAGUGAGAUUGUCUCAUCCCCGUGGUCAAGCACAGGACCCAUGACUAACCACAAGGUGUUCCAGCUCCCUGGCUACAGUAAGGAGUUCAGGAAUGGGCAUCUCAUUCAAGUUCGACCAAUCAGACUUCAUCCAAAGACUUUUGCUAGAACUGUUGAGAAAGAGAUGCUCUUUCCCUGGAGGCUGCUAAGCUGGUAACAUGCAAGCCUGGAUGUUCUGGGCUCUGCCGCAUGGGCUGAGCUUGCCCCAAAAUAAGGUGAAUACAGAAGGAAGCAAAGCUAAGAGGUGAUACAUUUGACUUGGAUUCCUACCCCCUGUAACCAAGAGUUCCAACCAACACAUAUCACAAUGCACUGAAGUGAGGAUGGAAAACUUCCCAUAGAAGACAUGAGACUCGAACCAAGCUCUCCCUGGAAAGGGAGCGUGGUGCCGCAGCAUGAAGGACUGACAGAGCAUUUCCUGAGAUGAAAAGAAGACGGAAUGUCAGAGAUUUUCAUGGCCAUGAAUUCCAACUCCUGAGCUGAGGUUUGAGACCUCGCCUAUCUCUGUCAGUUCGACCUAGACGAGACCUCUCUGGACCCACUGAAGUUUGCUGGAAGGUGCCACCUAGUGGAACAUCAGAUGACCUGCCGCUUAGACAAAAAGAAACCUCAGGAAGGUUUUACAACGGAAAGCCGUCCAGCAGUGGUUCCCUCAAACUUGGCUGCAGCCACCCGGGGAUGGUGGAGUCCCUACCCUCCGAGCCCCCCAGUACACAGUUGUAUAUUCUAGUUGUGAGUGCCCCUGGCUGUGCUAUGUGGGAUGCUGCCUCAGCAUGGCUUGAUGAGCAUUUCCAUGUCCCCGCCCAGGAUCUGAACCGGAGAAAUCCCGGGCCACCGAAGGGGAGCUCGGGAACUGAACCACUAGGCCACCAGCCAGCCUGCAUCCAGAGUUUUAAAAGACUAGGAGCUGAAAUGCCACUAAAUGCGCACACUGGCCUAAACCACCUGAGUGGUGUUCCGUGUCUGGCUCCCUUUCUCCCAUCCUACCCUGCAAGAUUGGGUCCGGUUCCAGAAUUUUGGAAUUAAAAAAGACCUCAAAGAGCAUCUGGUUCAACUGCUUUAUUUAACGCAACCAUAAUCUAUGUUUACCUAGACAUCUCUAAUUCCUGCUACCACAUGCACUCAUGGACUCAUACAUCAUAAACCUGAUGAGAAUUUGAGCAACCUGCCUGAAGCCACAGAGGAAAUUAAGGGCAAAGUCUGCACUGAUCCAGGCUGAUUAGAGCCAGUUGGGGAAAUUUCAGCUCCAGGACUUUUGUUCUCUUCCUCUAUAGUAGAAGUCUGAGCCUUGUUAAAUGGCCAACCUGGUAGAGAUAGCAAUUUGGGUCGUUGACGCCAGUGUUAAUGAGUUUCCUGAGUGCAGGUUUUAAAGAGGUGAGUGCUUGAUUGAUUGAUUCAUUCAUUCAUUCAUUCAUUUCCCAAAUGUUUGUUGAGGACCUGUUUUGGGCCAGGCACUGUAUUAGGCAUUGAGGAUAUGCUGGAGAAAACAAACAAACAAACAGACAGACAAAACCCAAUGGUCUCUGUCCUUAUGAGGCUUAUGGUCCAUUGGAGGAGACAGAUAUCAAAGAAUCACCCAGUAACUGUAAACAUGGUGACUGGCAAGGAAAGGCACUGCUAAGGUGUCACAUAACUGGGGAGCUUAGGCUGUUCAGGUAGGUCAGGCAGGCUUUGCUGAAAAUGUAUGAUGAUCUUGACGAUCUCCAAGGAGAGGAGGAGCAAGAAGGCUUCAGGCUUGUAGCAGACACAGAAGUCCAACACCCGUAGCUUCUUGGUUUUCGCUUAGGGUCGAGCAGACCUCACCAGCCUGGAAAUUAUAUCAUUACAGAGUCAUGAUUAUCCCCAUUUCACAGAUGAGGACAUUGAGAC
rnacentral:lncRNA from 1 species